UUGAACGCUGGCGGCAUGCUUUACACAUGCAAGUCGAACGGCAGCGGGGGCUUCGGCCUGCCGGCGAGUGGCGAACGGGUGAGUAAUGCAUCGGAACGUACCCAGUCGUGGGGGAUAACUACGCGAAAGCGUAGCUAAUACCGCAUACGCCCUGAGGGGGAAAGCGGGGGACCUUCGGGCCUCGCGCGAUUGGAGCGGCUGAUGUCGGAUUAGCUAGUUGGUGGGGUAAAGGCCUACCAAGGCGACGAUCCGUAGCUGGUCUGAGAGGAUGAUCAGCCACACUGGGACUGAGACACGGCCCAGACUCCUACGGGAGGCAGCAGUGGGGAAUUUUGGACAAUGGGGGCAACCCUGAUCCAGCCAUGCCGCGUGAGUGAAGAAGGCCUUCGGGUUGUAAACCGCUUUUGUCAGGGAAGAAAUCUUCUGGGUUAAUACCUCGGGAGGAUGACGGUACCUGAAGAAUAAGCACCGGCUAACUACGU
rnacentral:rRNA from 1 species